UGGGAAUUUGACAAUGGGCGAAAGCCUGAUCCAGCAAUGCCGCGUGUGUGAAGAAGGCCUUCGGGUUGUAAAGCACUUUUGUCCGGAAAGAAAUCCUUGGCUCUAAUACAGUCGGGGGAUGACGGUACCGGAAGAAUAAGCACCGGCUAACUACGUGCCAGCAGCCGCGGUAAUACGUAGGGUGCAAGCGUUAAUCGGAAUUACUGGGCGUAAAGCGUGCGCAGGCGGUUUGCUAAGACCGAUGUGAAAUCCCCGGGCUCAACCUGGGAACUGCAUUGGUGACUGGCAGGCUAGAGUAUGGCAGAGGGGGGUAGAAUUCCACGUGUAGCAGUGAAAUGCGUAGAGAUGUGGAGGAAUACCGAUGGCGAAGGCAGCCCCCUGGGCCAAGUACUGACGCUCAUGCACGAAAGCGUGGGGAGCAAACNGGAUUAAUACCCUGGUAGUCCACGCCCUAAANGAUGUCAACUAGUUGUUGGGGAUUCAUUUUCCUUAGUAACGUAGCUAACGCGUGAAGUUGACCGCCUGGGGAGUACGGUCGCAAGAUUAAAACUUAAAGAAUUGAC
rnacentral:rRNA from 1 species